UCAAGUUACUCGCAGAACAAUCAUUAGAAAAAUGAAAGCUUUUUCGUAGUCCAGUAUCUUCUGAAGUUUACGGUAAACUUCUUUGGUUCGCUUAUAUUAUCCUCUUACGUGUCACGUCCCGCUAAAAUAUUCAUAAGUGGCAUGGUGGUGACCCUUUGGAUUCCUUUCCUCCCAAACAUUGCAAAGUUUAGCCUGGCGCACUCCCUGAAAUAUUUGUCUCCUCCUCCUCCAAAGCAGCUCCGAAUUAAUGUGGACUUUCAAUGAUAGCUGCCCAUAAAGCCCACUUACUUGGGAGUAAGCUCCGUCCAAAUCAAUGCGACCUGCUUGCGUCCGUGAAAAGACUUUCAGAUUCGGGGGUAUUAGACGUGGGGGUUUCCCAAGAAAAUUUAACUUUCGAUAAGGAAAGGUAAAGCCUUUCUUAUCUUUUGUGGAGAAGCUUGGGAAAUUGUGGAAACUGCAUCGUGCCUCUUGGCACUCAAGUGAUGUUGAAAAACAGUUGCAGUAGAUUGGCCUUCGUUUGGAAGGAAGCGCGGGCGUGAGCCCAGGACCCGAAGCUUGUGAAGGGUUGUCAAGAGAGGAGCUAAAACACUGGACCCUUACUUACGACCUAACGUGGAAGGCAAUUACACCCCUUCAGGGACCCUCGCUGCCUGCCUCUCGUUGCAGAUCGGAGUACAGCCUUCCAGGGAGAGGGAGGAAGAAAAAAUGGCAGGGAUCGAGGCGAGGAUCCGGUAGCGGGAUCCGGUUUCUUUGAGAUUUGCCCAGCAGAGGAAACGCAGCAGACGCCUCUUGCUCUGGAGAGAGCCUGACUUUGGUUCUUCCCGCCCCACCCUCGGGUUGGUGACAGUGUUGAGAACUCUCGCUUUGUGUGUGCGUGUCUCCCUUGUUGUUGUACUGCUACACAAACCAGCUACGAAACUAUCCCCAGCGAAAUGUUUUCCGACAGCCCAAGAAUGGGGGUUGGCUUGAAUGGCAGCCGGUGAGAGGAGGAAGCUUGAAAGACACACGAGUAGUAGCGCGAGGCCUUUGACUCCUGCAGCGCCUGUAGGAAGGACGGCUGAUUUUUGGCUCCACUCCUCCCUCUCGGCUUUCUUUUAAGAAGCCCAGUGGCGUGACUUCUAAACAAGGGACGGACGCUUUAAGGAUCCAGCACGUUGUAUUGAUUUUAAACAAAUCCUCUGCCCCCGCCCUCCCUUCCAUCUGCGCUCUGCCCUCGGAUUAAGUUUAUGAAUCGCCCCUCAGUAUAAAAGUAACAUUGAUUACCUCCAAACUGUAUGAUCACUUAAUCAGAGGACUGGAUGAUUUCAUACGCCUCACUCAAUGGCGCGGAUUCGAAGCGAUUUCCCCUUUUGAAAAGGAGAGAGAGGGAGGGAAAUAGCCCUCGCCCCCCUUUCUUAUUAAAACGCCAACAAUACAUGAAGGGAGGCAGCUGGAUCCUCCAGGAUUUACGGGCUUUUCUCUUGCUUUCAUGCAAGCAGGUGUCUUUGGGACUGCCAUUGUCUCAGCCUACCCCCCCUCGGCUAAUAAUAGGAGCUUCUGAAAUGAAAGAUCCAUACGUCCAGCUUUCAAAUCCUUCAGAUGGCCUGGCCUCUAACGCAGCAGCCCUCCCCUAAGGUAUAUCAGCUCUCAUCUUGGAAGUCAAUAUCAGUGCCUUAAUUAAGAGAGAUACCCAUUGAUUCCUUCUGUUAAACCUGGAAGCAGCAAUGCAAUUCCAUGCCAGCAACAGAAGAGAUUAAAGGGAGGCAACAAGAGAGGGCGAGAAAUCUUGAAAUAAUUUUCAGUGAAAUGAAACCUAGGCUGUAACAGCAGAGACUCAACAGGAAACUGUUUAUACAUUUCAUUGAUAUUGAGUGUGCAAUGGCAGCUGAAAGGGGAAUACUGUGAAAUGUCAAGGAACAGGAGGAAAUUUUAUUUAUUUAUUUGCUCACUCAUUCUUUUGACCUUCAGAAGAUAAUGCCAGAUCAAGAGAAUGACCAUAUCAGGAGGAGGAGGAUCAUGCCUUCAUUUCUCUACAUGACUGUAGAUUAUUUCGGCUUCAGGAGACAAGAAUGUCCCUUUAACAUCUGACCUGGCCUUUAUUUAAGAGAAGCACUUCACGGUUCAGGAAAGACAGACAAUUUUCUAAUUCCCAGCACUGCUGGAGGCUGAGGCAGCAACUUCCAGACAGGACACCUGCUAACACUAGAGAAAUGGCAUUAUUAUGUCUACAAGUUUACAAAUCUGAGGAUCAGAAAGCUUUUGCUGCUGCUUCUACAACACAGGCCAAGGAUGACGACUUCUUCAGAGUUUCAGAGGGUUUUGCAAGAAACGGUCUCUUUUCACUUCCAGUCUCAGCAGAUCGGUUUCCACGUGAAAAAGUCAAUAGUCAAAGAGCUUCCUAAGUUUCAUUGGUGUGUAGCAGAAAGGGGAUUAAGACUUGGGGCCUUUUUACUGGCAAGCCUUUAAGCAAAUAAAGGUUAUUGAAUUUUUAAAAGAA